rnacentral:rRNA from 1 species
AACGAACGCUGGCGGCAUGCCUAACACAUGCAAGUCGAACGAGACCUUCGGGUCUAGUGGCGCACGGGUGCGUAACGCGUGGGAACCUGCCCUUAGGUUCGGAAUAACUCCCCGAAAGGGGUGCUAAUACCGGAUAAUGUCUUCGGACCAAAGAUUUAUCGCCUUUGGAUGGGCCCGCGUUGGAUUAGCUAGUUGGUAGGGUAAAAGCCUACCAAGGCGACGAUCCAUAGCUGGUCUGAGAGGAUGAUCAGCCACACCGGGACUGAGACACGGCCCAGACUCCUACGGGAGGCAGCAGUGGGGAAUAUUGGACAAGGGGCGAAAGCCUGAUCCAGCAAUGCCGCGUGAGUGAUGAAGGCCUUAGGGUUGUAAAGCUCUUUUACCCGGGAUGAUAAUGACAGUACCGGGAGAAUAAGCUCCGGCUAACUCCGUG